UGUGUUUCCUCCUACAUUUCACCUUCGCCGACCAUAUAAAAAUGUGAACGUCUUUGCAUUUGUGUAGUCGUAUGCUCCGUUAUGCAUUUUGUUCCUGAGCCCGUGCACAAGCUCCAUUACGACAAAGGGAGAUCACAUUCGUGCUCCUGUGGUUGCCUGUGCAACAGAAGACAGGCUGCGGGCGAGGCUGAAAGACUGGGCACGGGAGGAGCCUCACCUGCCUGUCCCUGACAUUUAUGAGCAGGAGCUCGUAUCCCUGGACAGAGCACAUACCCCAUCCAGAUAUCUACACGUGCCUGGAAGCGCUGCGCCAGAUCGAAUCGGCACGUGUGGGGCACCUCCAAGCAGCAAAUGGUGCCAUUCAGCGGCAACAGGCAUUCAGGCGGGGGAGACAACUAUGGACACAUUCCUCAGAAAAGUCCAGAGGAAAUGCAAGAUCAAGACCUUGCGUUAUCCUUGGACUUGACGAGAAGUGAUUUUGAACAGGCGCUCAUUGGUGCGUUGCAGGCUGUGUUCAUGCCUCCUGGCAUAGAGGGUGCCAUUCCCAUUAUGGGCAGGCUGUAUGGCGCAAUGUGCAGGCCUGUGGACUAGCGGCAGCAUACAGACACAAAGAAAAUGUGUGUGUGUUUGUGAGAAAGACUGUAACACUGGCGUUUGUGCUAGCCACUUUUGUGCGGAUGGCAUGGGGCCUACUGAAGGCUACUGCACCCCAGGUGCCAGGGGUGGGGGCUUUUGUAGUCUACUUCGAAAACAUGUGGAUGUAUGGGCAGUACCCUCCGUUAACAUUGAACCAACAGGGAAACCUUGGUGCAUGGACAAAUAAUGCAAUGGAAUCGUGGCAGCAUACAUACAUUGGUAUGAACUUCCUGCCCUUUCUACAUCAUAGAAACACGGACAGCAAUUAGGACAGAUAAAGAGGGUGCCUAAUGAGAAAUCUGAAAGCAGC